AUUGAACGCUGGCGGCAGGCCUAACACAUGCAAGUCGAGCGGAUGAAGGGAGCUUGCUCCUGGAUUCAGCGGCGGACGGGUGAGUAAUGCCUAGGAAUCUGCCUGGUAGUGGGGGAUAACGUCCGGAAACGGGCGCUAAUACCGCAUACGUCCUGAGGGAGAAAGUGGGGGAUCUUCGGACCUCACGCUCUCAGAUGAGCCUAGGUCGGAUUAGCUAGUUGGUGGGGUAAAGGCCUACCAAGCCGACGAUCCGUAACUGGUCUGAGAGGAUGAUCAGUCACACUGGAACUGAGACACGGUCCAGACUCCUACGGGAGGCAGCAGUGGGGAAUAUUGGACAAUGGGCGAAAGCCUGAUCCAGCCAUGCCGCGUGUGUGAAGAAGGUCUUCGGAUUGUAAAGCACGUUAAGUGGGGAGGAAGGGCAGUAAGUUAAUACCUUGCUGUUUUGACGUUACCAACAGAAUAAGCACCGGCUAACUUCGUG
rnacentral:rRNA from 1 species